UGCUGGUUCUAUCUCGCUACUGCUGUUUAUGUUCUCAAGUGAAAUCUCAAUUUUCUUGUCCUCAAGUUUCAGUUAUGUUUUGCCACCAUGGGAACUACUGCUAAUUUUUUUCAAUAUAAUUCAUGUUUAGCACACCAUUUUUGUCAAUAAGGCUCGAAAGCAACACAACCAAAAUGAGGUUCACUAAAUAAUGUCAUGGAAGCUAGAGCUUCGAUGAACUGAUAUCUAAAGCAUUUGCUGCAUGUUUUUUAAUCGUAGUUGCUCGAGCUUCUGGGAAAUUUUAAUCAGACUUAGUUUUGUCAACUGGAAUCUCAUGCUAAUUUGUAGGAUUACUCUUAUUUAGCAGAGAAUUGUUUCACUAACAAGGAUUGAAGGAAAUAGGGCCAAAGGGAGAUCGUCUAUUAUGAGCUUUAUACAGCUAAAAUGAGUAUAUUUUGCUUAAAUCUUGCAUUUCAGUUUGCAUAAAUUGGUAAUUUUCAGACUGGGUUACUCUUCAUCCCUGUUUUGCUUUUGCAGCAUGGCACCACUAAUUCCUCAUACACUUUCAGGUAUGACACAUUAGCAUCUCUGCCGGUUAAGAAAGAAAUCUCUGCACUGGUGGAGGAAGCCAGAUUCUAAACUCAAUCUGAUCACAGACAUAACAUUUCAAGGAGGGAAGAGAAAGCAGGCAAACCAGCUGGCAUGCUUCAUUUGUAUGCAACCAAGCGGACUCAUCAUCACCGCCGACCUGAGAUGCAUUCUCCUGAACAUGUGGCACCAAACCUGUAAGUAGUUGCACCUAGAAAUUCAGCAUUUCUAACAUGCACAUAUAUGUUGGAAGCAUAGAACACAUGACCUUCUUUAGUAGCAAUGUCAUGUAUCUGGGUGCCUCCAGAUAUUCUUGUGGCCUGUGUCUCGCAUGGUAUGUUUUCAUCAUUCACAGCGGCGGUUGCUUGUUUUUUAAGGUCCCGUAGUUCACGUUGGCGUUUUAAAAUCUCAUAUUUUUUAUUUGCAUACCGCUCCCUAUCCUCUACCUUUUGACCUCUUUAGAAUCCGCAUACACAUGACAAGUUAGUAUGUCAGAUAAUAACGAAUGUCAGAUAAUAACGAUCUUGUUGAACAUUGCGCGUUCUGUCAGCUACCUUGACUUUGCCCGUUGGUUAUAUCUUGGAAUGGAGUCCGUGAGGAAGAUGCCAUACCAAAUUUAGGUUCCUCUACCCUGUAAAAUUAAGAGGCAUUAAAACUGCCUGCCAGCAAAUUGCAAUAGCAUCAAUGAAUAAUUGCGAAAUACUGUAUUUUUAGCUUUAAUUUAUAUUUGCAUAUAGGUAACUGAUUGACAUCAUAGUCACCAUUACAUCUCCACAUGGCACUUUCUGCUUAUUGAUAGAAGCAAUGAGUCCCGAGUCCCGAGUAUGGUUAACUUUAGUGCGAACAUACUCUGUGGUUUUGAUCGCCAGGAGUAAGAUGAAAUGCUGUUAGACAUACAACCUCGUUGGUGAGGAUUACAACUCUCAUAGAAUUCUGUUAGCUUUGUGUCCUUUUAUAUUGUUGUAAAUUUAUAUUUGGCUAUAUCUAGAUUUUAGAUAAUCACCUAGCCUAAUAAAACUUGAGUUGGAUGCUUUUUUUAUUCUCAGCUUUGAGAAGCAACUGUUCGGUAUUAUAUUUUGAUAGGAAUUAACAUCAAAGAAAGCUACCUGGCAUUGUCUAAAGGAUUCCAAUUGUUGCGCCAUUAAUUUUUUGUUUAGAAUUGGUUAACCAGGGUCAUUUCGUUUUUUCCCAUCGCUUGCAGCAAGAGGUACUGACUCAAUCA